rnacentral:rRNA from 1 species
AACGCGAAGAACCUUACCUGGGCUCGAAAUGCAGGAGACCGGGGUAGAAAUAUCCCUUCCUCGCAAGAGGCUGCUGUAUAGGUGCUGCAUGGCUGUCGUCAGCUCGUGUCGUGAGAUGUUGGGUUAAGUCCCGCAACGAGCGCAACCCUCAUCCCUAGUUGCCACCGGGUAAUGCCGAGCACUCUAGUGAAACCGCCCCGGAUAACGGGGAGGAAGGUGGGGAUGACGUCAAGUCCUCAUGGCCUUUAUGUCCAGGGCUACACACGUGCUACAAUGGUCGGUACAAACCGUCGCAAAGCUGCAAAGUGGAGCUAAUCGGAAAAAGCCGGCCUCAGUUCGGAUUGGAGUCUGCAACUCGACUCCAUGAAGCUGGAAUCGCUAGUAAUCGCAGAUCAGAACGCUGCGGUGAAUACGUUCCCGGGCCUUGUACACACCGUGUCGA